UGGGGAAUUUUGGACAAUGGGCGCAAGCCUGAUCCAGCAAUGCCGCGUGCAGGAUGAAGGCCUUCGGGUUGUAAACCGCUUUUGUCAGGGAAGAAACGAGUUUCUCUAAUACAGAGACUUAAUGACGGUACCUGAAGAAUAAGCACCGGCUAACUACGUGCCAGCAGCCGCGGUAAUACGUAGGGUGCGAGCGUUAAUCGGAAUUACUAGGCGUAAAGCGUGCGCAGGCGGUUAUAUAAGACAGAUGUGAAAUCCCCGGGCUCAACCUGGGACCUGCAUUUGUGACUGUAUAGCUAGAGUACGGUAGAGGGGGAUGGAAUUCCGCGUGUAGCAGUGAAAUGCGUAGAUAUGCGGAGGAACACCGAUGGCGAAGGCAAUCCCCUGGACCUGUACUGACGCUCAUGCACGAAAGCGUGGGGAGCAAACA
rnacentral:rRNA from 1 species